rnacentral:tRNA from 1 species
GGAAGUGGAUGGGGUCUGGUGGCCCUCCCGGUCUUCAAAACCGAUGUGAGCUGAAUAGCUUUGGUAGGUUCGAUUCCUGCUCCUUCCGCCA